GCCCUCUCAGGAUCUCACCUGAAGACUAUCCAGUACUCUACCAGUCUCGACUAAGGGAGGGAGAGUCGAGCAGAGGCAUACCCAUUCCAUUCCUAGCCUGGGCAGUGGCUAGCAAGGGGAAGGCAAUUUGCUACAAAU